rnacentral:rRNA from 1 species
UGGGCAACCUGCCCUCAGCUCUGGGAUAAACCCCGGGGAAACCGGGGCUAAUACCGGAUACGACCUCCACGGGCAUCUGUGGAGGUGGAAAGGGUUUCCGGCUGAGGAUGGGCCCGCGGCCUAUCAGCCUGUUGGUGGGGUGAUGGCCUACCAAGGCGACGACGGGUAGCCGGCCUGAGAGGGCGACCGGCCACACUGGGACUGAGACACGGCCCAGACUCCGUACGGGAGGCA